UACGUAGGGAGCAAGCGUUGUCCGGAAUCAUUGGGCGUAAAGCGCGCGUAGGCGGCCCUGUAAGUCCGUUGUGAAAGUCAAAGGCUCAACCUUUGAAAGCCGAUGGAUACUGCAGGGCUAGAGUCCGGAAGAGGCGAGUGGAAUUCCUGGUGUAGCGGUGGAAUGCGCAGAUAUCAGGAGGAACACCAAUAGCGAAGGCAGCUCGCUGGGACGGUACUGAC
rnacentral:rRNA from 1 species